CCUACGGGAGGCAGCAGUGAGGAAUAUUGGUCAAUGGGCGGGAGCCUGAACCAGCCAAGUCGCGUGAGGGAAGACGGUCCUAUGGAUUGUAAACCUCUUUAGGCGGGGAGCAAUGCCGGGCACGUGUGCCCGGAGGGAGAGUACCCGCAGAAUAAGCAUCGGCAAACUCCGUGCCAGCAGCCGCGGUAAUACGGAGGAUGCGAGCGUUAUCCGGAUUGAUUGGGUUUAAAGGGUGCGUAGGCGGAUUUUUAAGUCAGCGGUAAAAUGUCCGGGCUCAACCCGGGCCGGCCGUUGAAACUGGGGAUCUUGAGUGGGCGAGAAGUAUGCGGAAUGCGUGGUGUAGCGGUGAAAUGCAUAGAUAUCACGCAGAACUCCGAUUGCGAAGGCAGCAUACCGGCGCCCGACUGACGCUGAGGCACGAAAGCGUGGGGAUCGAACAGGAUUAGAUACCCUGGUAGUC
rnacentral:rRNA from 1 species